CCGCGAUUCGCCCUUGGCGCAGCAGGCGCGAAAACUCCACAAUGUACGGAAGUACGAUGGGGUUAUCUCGAGUGCAGUCCGAUAAGGGCUGCUUUUCCAUAGAGUAAUAUCCUGUGGGAAUAAGAGGGGGGCAAGACUGGUGUCAGCCGCCGCGGUAACACCAGCCCCUCGAGUGGUGGGGACUAUUAUUUGGUCUAAAGCGUCCGUAGCUGGCUGUAUCCGUCCCCCGUUAAAUCCAGCGUCCUAAGCGUUGGACUGCGGGUGAUACCAUACAGCUAGAGGGUGGGAUAGGUGAGCGGUAUUUCUGGGGUAGGGGCGAAAUCCUUUGAUCCCAGGAGGACCACCAGUGGCGAAGGCUGCUCACUAGAACACGCCUGACGGUCAGGGACGAAAGCUGGGGCAGCGAACCGGAUUAGAUACCCGGGUAGUCCCAGCUGUAAACGAUGCUAGCUAGGUGUUGGGUCGGCCACGCGCCGCCCCAGUGCCGCAGGGAAGCCGUUAAGCUAGCCACCUGGGGAGUACGGCCGCAAGGCUGAAACUUAAAGGAAUUGGCGGGGGAGCAC
rnacentral:rRNA from 1 species